rnacentral:rRNA from 1 species
GUAGGGAAUAUUGGGCAAUGGAUGCAAGUCUGACCCAGCCAUCCCGCGUGCCGGAAGAAGGCCCUCAGGGUUGUAAACGGCUUUAGACGGUGAAGAACCGACAGGAUGCGUCCUGUUUUGACGGUAGCCGUUGAAUAAGCACCGGCUAACUCCGUGCCAGAAGCCGCGGUAAUACGGAGGGUGCGAGCGUUGUCCGGAUUUAUUGGGUUUAAAGGGUGCGUAGGCUGGAAGGUCAGUCAGCGGUGAAAAGCUAUCGCUUAACGAUAGUCUUGCCGCAGAGACUUCCUUGCUUGGAUGAGGAGGAGUCCACUGGAUCCGAUGGUGUAGCGGUGAAAUGCAUAGAUAGCAUCCAGAACACCGAUUGCGAAGGCAGGUGGCUGUACCUUAAUCGACGCUGAUGCACGAAAGCAUGGGGAGCAAACAGGAUUAGAAACCCCUGUAGUCC